rnacentral:misc_RNA from 1 species
AUCCCCGGCAACGUAGUAACUAAAUGCCAGCUUUGUAACAAUAAGAAGUACCCAGAACAUCGUGUACAUGAAAAGUGAAAAGGCACUUUCAUGCAUUCCUCUUCCUACAAAUAGACGAGGCUGAGACCACCACAUUAUGAGCAGUACAAUUAUGUUGUUUGAUCUUUCAAGAAUCCGUCUCAAGAAUGGGAAAAGAAACAGACAAGCAGCAAGCAUAUUCGGUGACAAGUAUACAACCACGGCCAA